UUUUCUUGAGAAAGGUAGCUGAAGGCCAUUUAAUUAUUGUGUUAUUGUUCAUCAAAUAUAAUUUUUGGUGUCAAUUAAUAUAGAGUACCAUCUUAUCACACAAUAAGGUGAAAGCCUUAUGAUAGGCGUUUCCAGUACUGUUGGAAGAGCUAAACGUCAUUAAAUCUUCAUGGAUGUCAAGAAAAUUAUUUUUCUUAUAUUUGGACUUUGAUUACUUCUCUUCUGAAUCGAGAGUUUAGAAACAACCUCCCUACUCCACAAAGGUAUAGAAUAUUGAGAAUAUAAGUAUGUUGAAUUGGUCCUAGAGGUAAACGUUCUGCUUGAUUAUUCACCCGCACAUGCUCUAACUAUCGGACAGUGAUGCAUGGCGGCUACAGCACAACCUAUGCCAUAUAGGUUUCAGAAUGGAGGAGAAGCAAAAAAUGACAAUGAAUUGUAAUUGAAUGAAGCAAAUGUGAUUGCAACAGAAAUGGAGAGCCGAGGGUGUUUCUAUGAUAAAAUCAGCUUUAGAAUUCUCUCGGGCAUUGCAUAAAAAAAGAAUGCUUGAAGCCAUGACCAUUUCUGAUAAGAUGUUGUCAUCGGGUUGUGUCCAAAUGAUAUCACACUAAGUUGUUUGACGUCAUGCCUUCUAAAAGUUGGGAUUGCAAAUAAAGCUUAUAAAGUAAGGCUUAUUUCAUCAUAGGAAUUGAAUUCUGAUUUAUCAUCUUCAAGGCAAUCUGUACCAUUCAGGACAAGUUUGGGCAUUCCACUGCGCUCACUCAAGGAAGAUGUGGAUCGUUGUUCCCUUCAAGUGCUUCACUAUUUAAGAAUACUGGAAGAUCACCUUAAAUUUUCUUAUUAGUAAAACAUACCGUUGAGAUGAACUACACUUACAUCACUUCUUUGAGAUGCAGAUAAUGGUAUAUUUGUUGCCAAAUGCAGUGGCUGUUGGUGGCUCCGUGUCAUGAUAGUAGUGGGGAAUCUUGGAAGUAAAGGAUACUCAUUGUUGUAGUAGGUGUCAUUUGGAGCAGACUUUGUAAAAUCGUGGGGCCUAAGCUGCGUCACAUCUAAUUUACAUAUUUAAGAUCCAUGACUUGUGUUCUUUAGUUAGUUUAUGUUUGUUUCCCUCAAAG